rnacentral:lncRNA from 1 species
GUUUCUAACAUCGAGAUGCUCCGCAGCGGGUGACGAGAGGUUUGCUUCUAAAUAGACAGGUGCCUGCACCGCCAAAGCCGAGACCAUCUCUCCAUUUCCACACACAAUGGCACCUUCAGAAAGCAGGGAGAGGAUGUACCUCCCUGCCAAAAUCAAUCCUGGUCAACUCCAAGAGCUGCUCAUUAAGGGAUAAGCUGCAAGCCAAUCAUUUGUCAAAGAUAAUUCUCAUUCGGUUUCAUACCAAGGAGUGAGGAAGAUUUUUUUUUAACUGUGAAAACCCCACAAAAACAAAAAGAACAACAAAAAAAGAACAAAGAAGCCGCCUCGCAUCCUACAAAUACAAGUGGUGUUUGGUUAUAUGAUGUUCACUUUAUUUAAUGACAAGUAAAAGUGUAAGGAAAUUGAGCUAUGUUGUCACAUUGUGGAAAACAUCUCAAGGCAGCAAGAAACUGGAUAAUCCUGAAUAUUUUUACCUGAAGGACUAAGUAAAGAUCAUAGCAUGGUGGUUUCUAAGACACAAACU